GGAGAGGUGGCAGAGUGGUUGAAUGCGGUAGUCUCGAAAACUAUUUUGUUGAAAGGCAACGAGGGUUCGAAUCCCUCUCUCUCCG
rnacentral:tRNA from 1 species